CAACAUGUUCCCAGGGCUGUGGCUGCUUGUAGCCAUGGGAUCUCCCACGCAGGUCAGAGGACCCUGGAGACCUGCCCAGCCCAGGCCGGCCAUACCUGCAGCUGCCAUGCCCCCUCCCCUGGUG
ensembl:snoRNA